rnacentral:tRNA from 1 species
GCCUGGGUGGCUCAGUGGGUUAAGCGUCUGACUUCGGCUCAGGUCAUGAUCUCACGGUCUGUGGGUUCGAGCCCCGCGUGGGGCU